AGCGAACGCUGGCGGCAGGCUUAGCACAUGCAAGUCGAGCGGGCCCUUCGGGGUCAGCGGCGGACGGGUGAGUAACGCGUGGGAACGUGCCUUCUGGUCUGGAAUAACCCUGGGAAACUAGGGCUAAUACCGGAUACGCCCUUUUGGGGAAAGGUUUACUGCCGGAAGAUCGGCCCGCGUCUGAUUAGCUAGUUGGUGGGGUAACGGCCUACCAAGGCGACGAUCAGUAGCUGGUCUGAGAGGAUGAUCAGCCACACUGGGACUGAGACACGGCCCAGACUCCUACGGGAGGCAGCAGUGGGGAAUAUUGGACAAUGGGCGCAAGCCUGAUCCAGCCAUGCCGCGUGAGUGAUGAAGGCCUUAGGGUUGUAAAGCUCUUUUAUCCGGGACGAUAAUGACGGUACCGGAGGAAUAAGCCCCGGCUAACUUCGUG
rnacentral:rRNA from 1 species